CCCACGAGGCACUGAACAGAAAGCCAAGUUCAGUGAGAAGCAUUCGAGUAGGAAGGAGGAUCUACACCUGUGCUGCUAAGGACUAUCCGCUUUUUCAGCACCUGAAGAAAAGGUCGAAGAAAGUCAGGUGCACAGAAGCAGAAACUGGGGGGUUCUCCAAGAAGUGUAGGAAACAUAAACAGGUGAAGAAGAGCCAGCAGCAGCUGCAAGAAGAGUUCUAGGUUGUGCAGGAUGAAGUAUUCUCUGAAGACCUUGACUGAGGUAAUGGGUCAUGAUGUCAGGGGUGCUUGUAAGGGAAAAGGUGAGUGCUCCCAGCUCUUAGAAAUCAUGGCUUGAAAACUGUCAACUGCCCAUGCUCAGCACAGGGUUUUUCUGCUCAGUUUCCGGUUUAGCCUUGACUGUGAAAACUUCCUGCUCACAAAAUAUUGUGCAGCGUGUUUUGCAGUUGCCUGAAGAAGAAGCCAGGGCAAGGAAAAGUGCCCCAUUUCCUGCAGACUUGGCUGAGGCUGAAGGCAUCUUUCACUAGAGAACCGGGAUUCUUCAGUCAUUUCUGAGGAAGGAAGGGA